AUUGCAUGUUUUUGCUCAGUGCAGCCAGUAGCAGUAAAAAUUAAAUUUCGCCAAUUUUCUUUUUGUUGUUGCUGCUACUAUUAAUGCGUGUUUAUCUCGACGUCUUCAACGGAGGAAGAAGUCGAAUUUGACAUCGAAUAUAUUGCUACGGAGGUCCAGCCUUACAUGUUUGAACCGCUAGCUAGUAGCAAGAAUGUUGAAACUGACGAAGAUCUGUCUUCGUCGUCAACGGACAGCUCAUCUGACGAAUAUACUCACAGGAUUGGAAAUACAAACUGGUGUGAAUGUGGACACUGUGUGGCGAUGACAACCGGCCGGGAAAGCAUUUGUUGCCAUGAGGAACCGAAGACUACUGUGAAGGUACCACAGGAUUCAUCCUGACAUUCAUCCUGACAUUCAUCCUUACAUUCACCACAGGAUUCACCACAACAUUCAAAAUUAGCAUAAAGUGUGAAGUUGACACCACAUUCAUUUUAAUGUUAUUAAAUAACAUCAGUUUCAGAAACAAAA